rnacentral:rRNA from 1 species
AUUGAACGCUGGCGGCAGGCCUAACACAUGCAAGUCGAACGAGUGGCGCGCGUGUGAGUAGUGUCUGGGAAACCGCCUGAUGGAGGGGGAUAACUACGGGACACGGUAUCUUAUACCGCAUUCCAUGGGGUGUCCCUAUGGGGGAUUAGCUAGUAGGUGGGGUAACGGCUCCCCAAGGAGACGAUCCCUAGCUGGUCUGAGAGGAUGACCAGCCACACUUGGACGGAGACACGGUCCAGACUCCUACGGUAGGCAGCAGGGGGGAAUAUUGCACAAUGGGCGCAAGCCUGAUGCAGCCAUGCCGCGUGUAUGAAGAAGGCCUUCGGGGUGUAAAGUACUUUCAGCGGGGAGGCGUUACCCGCAGAAGAAGCACCGGCUAACUCCGUGCCAGCCGCCGCGGUAAUUC